ensembl:misc_RNA Metazoa_SRP Metazoan signal recognition particle RNA
GCCGGGCGUGGUGGCUCAUGCCUGUAAUCCCAACACUUUGGGAGGCCGAGGUGGGGGGUUCACCUGAGGCCAGGAGUUCAAGACCAGCCUGGCCAAUAUAGUGAAACCCCGUCUCUA